rnacentral:rRNA from 1 species
UGCAAGUCGAGCGGAAACGACUUAACUGAACCUUCGGGGAACGUUAAGGGCGUCGAGCGGCGGACGGGUGAGUAAUGCCUGGGAAAUUGCCCUGAUGUGGGGGAUAACCAUUGGAAACGAUGGCUAAUACCGCAUAAUAGCUUCGGCUCAAAGAGGGGGACCUUCGGGCCUCUCGCGUCAGGAUAUGCCCAGGUGGGAUUAGCUAGUUGGUGAGGUAAGGGCUCACCAAGGCGACGAUCCCUAGCUGGUCUGAGAGGAUGAUCAGCCACACUGGAACUAAGACACGGUCCAGACUCCUACGGGAGGCAGCAGUGGGGAAUAUUGCACAAUGGGCGCAAGCCUGAUGCAGCCAUGCCGCGUGUAUGAAGAAGGCCUUCGGGUUGUAAAGUACUUUCAGCAGUGAGGAAGGUGGUGUCAUUAAUAGCGGCAUCACUUGACGUUAGCUGUAGAAGAAGCACCGGCUAACUCCGUGCCAGCAGCCGCGGUAAUACGGAGGGUGCGAGCGUUAAUCGGAAUUACUGGGCGUAAAGCGCAUGCAGGUGGUUCGUUAAGUCAGAUGUGAAAGCCCGGGGCUCAACCUCGGAAUAGCAUUUGAAACUGGCGGACUAGAGUACUGUAAGGGGGGGGUAGAAUUUCAGGUGUAGCGGUGAAAUGCGUAGAGAUCUGAAGGAAUA